ensembl:lncRNA
CAUUGAAAAAAAAAGGCUCAUAUGUCUGGCACGGGGGGUGGCCCUCCAACCCAAGACUUGACCACAGCAGAGGAGCUGGCCCUGGAGUUGAAUAAAGGCCCAGCAAGAGAGACUGGCCUCUUCAUACAAGGCUUGGCACGUCCUGUCAAAACUAUCAAUACAAGUUCUAUUGAAUAUGGCAGAGGGAAGGCACAUCUGAUGAUGAUGAGAUCGUGUCACUGGACUCCAGAAGGCUUGAGGUGUCAUGUCAAUUUUGUGUAAAGAAGAUAUUUUGAAGAUUGCUUGUAAUCAAACAGUUGGUGGCUCCUACUGACUUCCAUAGUAUUUUUAUUUCCUCUUUUAUGUUCAACAUAAGAAAGCAACUCAUACAGGUUUGGAUAGAACUUCAAAAGAAGAAUCAGAUGAUCCAGAACAUAUAAAGGUAUUUUGUUGUUUACUAAAAAUAUUUAUAAGGUUGUUGCCAUCCUCAAGAGUAGAACCAUUUUCAAAAUAUAUUUUCUUAUUCCUUUAUUCGAGUUGAAAAGACUAACAAAUGGAACAUUUAUUUAGAAUAAGCCUAUAUAUACACUACAUAUUGACCUCGUCAUGGACUUAAAUGAAACCACAUUUGCAACUUCAUCAGCCAUUUCUUAUAAUCUCAACAAAUGCAAUAAUAUAUGCAUUCAUCAAACCUCUAACAGCAAUAUGAACAGUCUUCAUAACAACACUAAAACAGGGAUACUUAGAUGCAUGACAGUAUAUGUCGUAUUUUAAUGCGUGAUAAUUAAAAUGAUGCAACAUUUGCAGAAGACCAUGGAGUGACUGUAAAACAUUAAUUUCUAGAAAGAUUGACAGCAGAACUAACAGAUAAAUCACUAAGAUUAAUCUUAGCCUGGUUGUUAGCCUGCUCCGGAGCAGGCUAGCUGCAAAGUGUAAAUCUCCAUAGUAACAUAAUGUAGAUUAAUUUAGCCUCCCUUCAUGCAACCGAGUCAGGGCUAAAUUCAGCCAGGAUAACUGGAAAAUCCCAGUUUAAUCCCUUAUCUUGCUUUUGUGCAAUACCCCCCAGUUUCCCAAUCUUCCUUUCAUUGCAAAAACACUUGAACGAGCUGUGUUAAACCAAUUCUCUGCCUUUCUCACACAGAACAACCUCCUUGACAGCAACCAAUCUGGCUUCAGAAGUGGACAUUCAACUGAGACUGCCUUGCUCUCAGUUGUUGAAGCCCUAAGACUCGCAAGAGCGGAAUCCAAAUCUUCAAUACUUAUCUUGCUUGAUCUGUUCGCU